UACGUAGGGACCAAGCGUUGUUCGGAUUUACUGGGCGUAAAGGGCGCGUAGGCGGCAAUUCAAGUCAUCUGUGAAAUCUCUGGGCUUAACCCAGAACGGCCAGGCGAUACUGCUUUGCUAGAGUGCGGAAGGGGCAAUCGGAAUUCUUGGUGUAGCGGUGAAAUGCGUAGAUAUCAAGAGGAACACCUGAGGUGAAGACGGGUUGCUGGGCCGACACUGACGCUGACAGCGCGAAAGCCAGGGGAGCAAACGGG
rnacentral:rRNA from 1 species